rnacentral:lncRNA from 1 species
GGUCAAGCAAGGAAAGGAAAUCAAAAGAAGCAAACACAGCCAUGGGAGAUUAUGAUGAUGAACUUAUGUUAUUGAUGGCUUAUGAAUCUGAUGGUGGAUAUUUCGUAGACUUGUGGUAUAUGGACAUCGGCUUCCCAAUUCUCCUAACUGGUAACAAGCAAUGGCUGAUUAAUUUUGACUAUAGAAAGAGGAUAAAGAUC